rnacentral:rRNA from 1 species
UACAGAGGGUGCAAGCGUUAAUCGGAAUUACUGGGCGUAAAGCGCACGUAGGCGGUUUUUUAAGUCAGAUGUGAAAGCCCCGGGCUCAACCUGGGAAUUGCAUUUGAAACUGGGGAACUAGAGUGUGUGAGAGGGGGGUAGAAUUCCAAGUGUAGCGGUGAAAUGCGUAGAGAUUGGGAGGAAUACCAGUGGCGAAGGCGGCCCCCUGGCACAACACUGACGCUCAGGUGCGAAAGCGUGGGGAGCAAACAGG